AACGGCCAUACCAUGCUGAAUAUACCGGUUCUCGUUAGAUCACCGAAGUCAAGCAUCAUUGGGCGCGGCCAGUUCUUGGGUAGGUGACCACCUGGGAACACCGCGUGCCGUU
rnacentral:rRNA from 1 species